GAGGAACCCUUCCGCGAUGUUCCUUGUAGACGGAGAAGGGAUUUUGUUCAUUUCUUCAGACCAUGAUUUGAAUCACUCAUGUUAAUUGACUCGUCUGCUCUGGUUCCUUUUAGCACAGUGUUCUGAUUCUGCUGGGAGUUCAUUCUCGCUAGGCUUACCAGUCGACCUAAAAUCACCAGUAAGAGGAUCUUUUGGACUCACAUCUCAAGUGGCUGAGAAGAAUCAGGGAACAUUUUAUAGGAUUUCUUUUCUUCUUUUGACUUGCGAACAUCUGGAAAACGGCUAUGCAGAUAUAGCAACAGGACUUUUGUUUCCACGUCCGAUACCAGAUCUUUGACGACUGCAGUUCUGUUCCUGCUUUAACACGGUUUCCAGGAGCAAUUAUAAGCCUUGAUCAGACUUGUGAGACUAUUUUGGACGGUUUCUGGAAAUACUGAUUCACCAUUGAAGAGGAAUGCCUCAGGGAGCAAAGGAACCCUACUCAAUCACAAAAUUACUUCUGUGUGGUACGUAAUGGAAUAUCUGGAAUGACAUUCACUUAAGUACACAUUCCUGAAAACAGUAUUGAGAGAUGGCAUAGAUCACCCACGUUACCUAAAUUCCUUGAGGCUUGGAGAGAUGGGCAUUUCUCUAACUCGUGAUGAUGCAAGAAAAAAUGGAGGUGGAAUAUUUAAAUUAAUUCAGAAUAAUGAAGCUCUCAUCCUUAUACACAUUUUCAGUGCUUUGCCAUUGGCCUGAUGCAUGACCUUAGUAAUAAAACUGAAAAGACAUCCUAGAAAAUGGGAAUUAGAAGAAAGUGCAAAGUGUGAUAAAAGCUCUCUCGGAUUUCUCUGGCAGUGAGAGAUAGAGUUUAAAGCAUUCUAAUUUCUAACAAGAAAAAUAAAAAGGAAAAGCCAAAAAAAGGACACCAAUCAGCAGCCGAGCGGAAUCCCGUUGUCAUCAUUUCCUCUGAUGUGUCCUUCCAGAAGUGCUCGGUGGCCGUGAGCGUGGCAUGAAGGCUGAAAGCCUGCAAGUAGAUUAAACCCAAGCAUGCAGCGUAUUGCAGAGGAAAUUCAGAGUGAAUCAAAUCCGUACUGAAGCUCAACGACUUCCUAAUUGCAGAUUUGAUCAUAGAAAGGAGACCAAACUAUCCACUCCAAGAAAAGAUACUAGCCAGGAUUGCUUGUUGCUAUGCAUCCGCAAGAUCUGAAGUAUCUGGAAAUGAAUCUGCCAGUUUCCUUCGUAGAGCUCAGAGUUCUCCCCUUGAGUGCACUGCUCGGCUCCUUGCGCUACGACGAUUUCAUUCCGAUUGACUGUAGCUGCGGUGUUUCGUCCCUUCUCCUCUGAAUUAUUGAAACAUUAAGUAGCAAAUUUCCCAAGUGCACUAUGGGCAGGUUGGAUAUCCUUUGAGUUCAAUUCUCAUUUUUGGCAAUUAAAUUAACAUUGUAUUGUG